ACUGUUCCAAUUUAGUGGAGGGUUGGCGCCUUCAGACUUGUUUAACUUCAACAUGUACACAUUUUAUAUAAAUUCAUACCAGGUAAGGAGCAUGUGAUUCAGUGGUUGUCGUUUGUUACUGUAUAUCAUAUUUGUUUUUCGUUUAUGAUUUUGUAUAUAAAUCAGGUCGUUAGUGUUUUCGUUUGAAUUGUUUAUCAUUUGUUGUUUCGUGGCUUUUAUACCUGACUAUUCAUAUUGGUUUUA
rnacentral:lncRNA from 1 species